CCCGUCCCUCACGUGGGCUCGCAGCUGGCCACGCCGUCGCCGCGGAAGCCGCGCUGGCAGCGGCACUGGAAGCUGCCGGGGCUGUUGUGGCAGCGCGCCCGCGGGUGGCACCGCGCCAGCCCCAGCGCGCACUCGUCCACGUCGGGGCACGCGCCGUACCACCACCGGCCGCGCCCGCGGUCACUCUGGUCACUCUGGUCACUCUGGUCACUCAGGUGGUCACUGUGGUCACUCAGGUGGUCACUGUGGUCACUCUGGUCACUCUGCUGGUCACUCAGGUGGUCACUCUGGUCACUCAGGUGGUCACUCAGGUGGUCACUGUGGUCACUCAGGUGGUCACUGUGGUCACUCUGCUGGUCACUCUGGUCACUCUGCUGGUCACUCUGGUCACUCAGGUGGUCACUGUGGUCACUCCGCUGGUCACUCUGGUCACUCAGGUGGUCACUGUGGUCACUCAGGUCACUCAGGGCCACCGAGCAGUUGGGGAAGUCCCGGGGACCCGCGAAGUCGCCCUCCAAGCAGCUGGGAGAGAAAAUUCGGGAAUUUUGGGAAAUUUUGGGAAUUUUUGGGGGGUUUGGGUGGUAAGACGGGGGAAAAGGGGAAAAAAAUUGAAAUUG
rnacentral:lncRNA from 1 species